rnacentral:rRNA from 1 species
UACGAAGGGGGCAAGCGUUGUUCGGAAUUACUGGGCGUAAAGGGCUCGUAGGCGGCCAACUAAGUCAGACGUGAAAUCCCUCGGCUUAACCGGGGAACUGCGUCUGAUACUGGAUGGCUAGAGGUUGGGAGAGGGAUGCGGAAUUCCAGGUGUAGCGGUGAAAUGCGUAGAUAUCUGGAGGAACACCGGUGGCGAAGGCGGCAUCCUGGACCAAUUCUGACGCUGAGGAGCGAAAGCCAGAGGAGCAAACGGG